CUUCCGCACGUACUCAUCUCGAUUGUGCGCGUACCCGCUUCCUCAGUACCCACUCAGCCAUCGCUGCAGCCGCACGCGUCUCUCAUCAACAUCGACAUGAAGAGGUGGAGCAUUGUGUUGAUCGUGGUGUUCAGCCUCCUGGUUGGGACCGUCGUCUCCGAACCACAAGUUAGAGCUACGAGAAAAGGGCUUUUCGAGAUCUGCAAGCGGAUGAGGCCUAACUGUAAAGUUGAGCCCCCUCACGUGUGCUGUCGGGUCACUGGUGAUUCCCCGGCUGUCAUCACACUCAAUCACAGUGUCAAGCUUAAAUGACCUGGGACUCAUUAAUCUAUUGGACAUCGGCCAUCUCCUAUAGGAUGAAGACUGUCAGAUUGGGAAAUAGGAGUCUUGCUGCUAGUCUUGCUGCUAGUCUUGCUGCUAGUCUUGCUGCUAGUCUUGCUGCUAGUCUCGCUGCUAGUCUUGCUGCUAGUCUUGCUGCUAGUCUUGCUGCUAGUCUUGCUG